rnacentral:rRNA from 1 species
UACGGAGGGUGCGAGCGUUGUCCGGAAUCAUUGGGCGUAAAGGGCGCGUAGGUGGCGGGACAAGCGUGCGGUGAAAGCUCGGGGCUCAACCCCGCGUCGGCCGUGCGAACUGUUUUGCUUGAGCACUGUAGAGGCAGGCGGAAUUCCGGGGUGUAGCGGGUGGAAUGCGUAGAUAUCUGGAGGAACACCGGUGGCGAAGGCGGGU